rnacentral:rRNA from 1 species
AGAGUUUGAUUCUGGCUCAGGAUGAACGCUAGCGACAGGCUUAACACAUGCAAGUCGAGGGGCAGCAUAAAAGUAGCAAUACUUGGUGGCGACCGGCGCACGGGUGAGUAACGCGUAUGCAACCUACCUAUCAGAGGGGAAUAACCCGGCGAAAGUCGGACUAAUACCGCAUAAAACAGGGGCACCGCAUGGUGAUAUUUGUUAAAGAAAUUCGCUGAUAGAUGGGCAUGCGUUCCAUUAGGUAGUUGGUGAGGUAACGGCUCACCAAGCCGACGAUGGAUAGGGGAACUGAGAGGUUGGUCCCCCACACUGGUACUGAGACACGGACCAGACUCCUACGGGAGGCAGCAGUGAGGAAUAUUGGUCAAUGGGCGGGAGCCUGAACCAGCCAAGUCGCCGUGAAGGAAGAAGGAUCUAUGGUUCGUAAACUUCUUUUGCAGGGGAAUAAAGUGCAGGACGUGUCCUGUUUUGUAUGUACCCUGAGAAUAAGGAUCGGCUAACUCCGUGCCAGCCGCCGC